AAAAAAGGAAGAUGAUUGAAUUUCAGGAAGAGAGCAUAAGGGAACAGAAAAAAAAGGAGAAAAAUCCAAUUUCGGAAAGAGAAGGAAGAGAAUAAAGAAAAAAGGAGUGGGAAAAAGAGGCACGUGCACAGAUGAAUGAACAACUUUCUGUGGAAGCAUUUUGUGUUGCAGUAGAGGACCUUUAAGACAGCUUCAGAAGGGUAGAGAUCAAUUUCCUGGUUACAUUUCCUUUCCCAUUCUUAUUGGACUUUUUGUUUUCAUUUUAUUGUCUUUGCUUUUAUUUCUUUAGCUUUAGAAUUUAUUUUAUUA
rnacentral:lncRNA from 1 species